UGCUCUUAUAAGAAGAGGAAGAGAAGCUGGAGCUCUCCCUCCACAUGCCAUGCACUGAAGAAAGACCAUACAAGCACACAGAAGAGGGUGGCCUUCUUCAAAUCAGGAAGAGGAGUCUCAUCAGAACCCAACCAUACUGGCAUCCUGAUCUGAUCUCCAGAACUAAUCGCCCAGUACAUCUUUCACAAGCCCAACAAGCUGCUUGCACAACAGUUACUUAAAGAGGCUUCUCCUGAAUAUGACAUUCGAAGGCUGAAUGUGUUAUCUAACCUUCUGCAUACUUCUGAAUGUAAAAUUGAGCAUCACCCAGUUUUGACCCAUUAUUUUUAUCAGUGCCACUGAAAUGUCACAAGGCCUUCCAACUGAGAAUGGAGAAACAUUCCCGAUUUCACAGGGCAUGUGGAAUCAGAGGGUAUGCCUCAUGACUCAUCCCUCCUCUAGAAGGGAGCUAAGAGGCAACUGAACAUCCACCCAGGACUGCAACUCAAGAUUGUGGAAGCAAGAGUUCUAAAGUAAGUCCUGCUCAAACCUAGCUGUGCAACCUUCAGAAAGCUCCUUUACAAUUCCUUGCUUCAUCUACCUUGACUAUAAAAUUAAACUGAUGGUAUAGACCUGCUUGCCAGAAAUGUCAUAAGAUUUAAUGAACAAAUAAUUGUAAAGUGCUCCAUAAAUACAAAUUGUUGUGCAACUACUAAAUAACUUAAUUGUGUAAAAUUCCAUAGAAACUAUCCUGUUCCUUUGGGUUUUUUUUUAAAUCACUAUUUAUUUGAUUUAUGCAUGCAAGACAGCGUUUGCCUAAAAACCCUUUCUUACACGUGUAUUCCCUUUGAUUUAUUCUCUUUCACUCUGCCAGCACACAGCCUGACAUAUGUAUAAAGGAUUUGCAAGAAAAAUCACUUAAUGCAUAGCAUUUCCUUUGUUGUGACUGUCUUAUCACGAACUGUUAUAGUUGUCACUUAUUCUCAGAAUUGUUUGUCUAGUUUUCGCUCAGGCUUAUAAAUACUCACCUUGGACAUGGUUUAUAGACAGUGUAGGGAAAACAAAUACAUAUGCUGGAAUAGUCAACUUAGAUUUAUUCUUACUUAAGGAAAAAAAGGCUUAAAGUUUUAAUGUGUGCUUGAUAAGCUAUAAUUCAGCCUGAAAGAUGCAAGCGGUUUAUACUUACUCUCCUGGGUAAGCUCGACAUUUAUGGUUUCAACUCUUCUCAGUACCUCUUCAGUAGGUUAUGCCUUUCCCAGAAGGACUGAUCUCAAAGCACAAUUUCCAAGAAUGCUAUUACCAGAAAAAUGGGGACUUUUAACCAACUAUAUACUGUAGAAGAGUGGAACAUGAGGGUCUCAAGAAUUCGAGUGUUUAUGAAGUACCACGAAUGGGCUCAGCUACUAACAUACUUGAUGCUGCUCAGAAUGCCAGUCCUUUGAAAAUCUGUGAAGUAGAAAGUUUGCCCUUGGUGCCCCUAAAUCUCUUGACUUCAACCUCCAUUCCUGGAAUGUUACCUUUCCUAUGCCUGAGGAAAGUCAUCCAGUUUUACCGGGCAAGGUCUUGGGUGUACUCUUUGGAGAAGACUCGAGAGCUUUGUAUGAAAGCAGGAAGCCCGUCUCAUCACCAGGGAUGCAGCAGCUCACUGCGGUUUGGAGUCACCAGACUCAGCUUUGCCUCACUCAGAGAAGCUGCUGGACUUCUGGAACAAUUUUUAGAUGAGACAGCCAAGGUGCCAUUUUGGAGAAGAUACCUAAAAGAGGAUGUCAUCCCCUAGGACACAGUAUAUACCCAAAGUUAACAGUGUAAUGUGUGCCACAAGAACAUGUCCAAGAACGUAAGGGUGAAAGGAGCAUCACUUCCAGUGAGUUGGGGAAUUUCUACUUUUUGUCCCUUCAACUCUGGACUGUAGGUCUGAAGACGCUGGUUUCAAAUGGAGUGAUUAUUUCCAUCAGAAGACACAAUGAAAAGCCUAUUAAAUUGUAAGCUAUUGCUGCUUCCCAGUCACUUUGGGCUCCUUAUGUCAAGAAACCAACAGUCAAGGAAAGGAAUCACUAUCCUGCAGUGGUAAUUGACCUAGAUCUUCGGGAGCUUGCGCAAUGAGAACAGGAAAUACUUUAGCACACCAGUGGUCCACUGCAAAAUCUUGCUCUAUUCCUUUGACCGAUAUUCACAACAAAUGAAUCCAAGCAGCAGCCAUGGCAUGCGAAGGGCAUGGUAACCAAGAUCUCAGAACACUCAGAGAUGAGGACUAGGUGGCUCCACCAGCUUACCCACUAAGACCGUCAGAGGUAUGGCUAAGAGUGGGUAGAAUGGGCAGCAAAGGAGAGAGAUGAAUACAGCUAUAGCUUUGCAAGCAACUGCAGUGGUGGUGGCUGUAGUUCAUUCUACUGCCUUAAUAUUACAACUUUUCCCAUGAAGAGAAACAAACCAAAAUCUUUAGAACCUAUUUCCAGAUGGGCUGAAUUCCAUUUGGGGGGAUUCAGGUAGUGAAAAUGGAAGACAAUAUUGAUAUGCCUCUCAGAUCACUUUUUAGGAUUAAGGUACUUAUUUUUCUAACUGUUGGGAGUGUUGGUUGUUCAAAACUUAUAACCACGCCCCUCCUCAGGAAUUUCCCUCUAUUAAAGGGAGCUACGUUUCCCAAGUUUACAUCAUUUCCUGGCCUCUAUCCAGUACCCAGUUUAUGACGUGAGACCCCAUUCUCUUUCUUCAACUCAUUCAAAUAUAAAGGGCCAUCUCAGCUACAGCAUUACUGGUAGGAUUAAUGGAGGCCUCUGCUGCAACUGCACUACAGUCCAGCUUUUCCCUCUGCUGAAAUCUGUUUCCCUCAUCCUUCACAGGUGUUUAUCCCAAGAGCUCUCCCUGGUAAACCUCCUACAUGCAAAGCUAAGAGACUCUAUGUUUGUUUUCUAGGGAAACCAAUGUAUGACAGCCACCAUGCUCAUACUAUCACAUAAAGAGGGAAAGUAGCAGACCUGAUGUGCUUAACAUAAAAGGCAAGGGAUGCUGAACAUAAAAAAGAAACUGCUAAAACUAUUAACUGAGGGCUUUAAAGUACUAGAUCAGCCUUUGGUAGAGAGGACUUGAAUUAUCUUUUAGGCUACCAAUUGCAUGUACUUGAAAGGCUAGUGGGAAAUGUUUAAGUGGGAAUCAUAUUUCAGAAAUGGAUGGGAAAGUUCUUAGAUUUCCCUGUAUUACUGGCACAAUCCCAGAGCAAAAAUGCCUUCAACAAAUGUGAAACCAAGCCUCUUUGAUCACAAAGCCUCAAGGCAUUGGAGGCAGAUAAAAUGGCACUAUGAAAUGGCAGGUUUAUAUUUAUAUAAAAUAUAAAAUGGCAGAUAAAAGGGAGACAUCAUUAAUUCAUUAAUCAAUUUAUCUAGAUUGGUCUUCUAAGCCAUUCCCCAAAAAAACCCUUUUUAAACUCAAUUUCCCAAGACAUGGAUGAACAUAUAUCCCCAAUACCAAAACUGUGGGUGGAAUCUCUGAAGCCCAGCCCCCUUCCCCAUAUCACUGUAAGUUCUUGCUUACCUUCUCAGUGACAAAGCAUCCAAAAUCCAGAUGAGCCAAGAUGAUCUGGACACCUGUCUGGAAGAGCAAAACUUUUGUGGAAUUCCAGUUCCCUCAUCCAGCUUCCCAUUAUUCUCUUCCUAUUUACUCUGUGUGUCUUAGCCAGUUCUCUUUUUACCCUGGCUUCCUACCCAGUUUUAAAAUUUUAACUUUUAAUUUAGAUUUACAGAGAAGUUGCAAAGAUAGAACAGAGUGUUCCUGUCUACUCUUCACUCAGCUUUCCCUAAUGUUAACAUCUUAUAUAAGCAAAGGACAUUGUCAAAACUAAGAGUUUAAUAUUGGUAUAAUACUCUUGGCUAAACUACUUUAUUUAGAUUUCACCAGUUUUUCCACUAAUGUCCUUUUCCUGUUCCAGAAUCCACUCCAGGACACCACAUUACAUUUAGUUAUGUUUUCUUAGUCUCCUCAGUAUACGACCAUUUCUCAUUUUUUUCCUUUUUUAUGAUUUUCCAGUUUAAAGACUACUCUUCAGUGAUUUUGUAGUCCUUCAAUUUGUGUCUAUCUGAUGUUUUCUCAUGAUUCGACUAGAGUGAAGUUUGGGGAAAGAAUGCCACAAAGGUGAAGUAUCUUCCUCAGAUCAUCUCAGAAAUUACAUGAUAUCAGUAUGCUGAUGCCAACUGAGUUGCUCACUCCUUACUCUUUUUCCUUUCCAUACUCUGUUUUUUGGAAGCAAGUCACUUAAGUCCAGCCCACAUUCAGGAGGAGAGGAGUUAAGCUCCACCUCCUAGAAAGGAGUAUCUACCUAUAUUAUUUGGAGUUUCUGUAAGCUUUGUUCCUUCUCCCUAUUUAUUUAUCCCAUAAUUUAUUUAUAUCAGUAUUAUCUUACAGAUAUUUAUUUUAUUCUUUGUGUUAUAAUCCUCUCAAGGAACUGCUUUGGUACUCACAUUGGCCACUGGGACUUCUUUCAAAUGAGCUCCUGUGUAUUUUUGACAUGCAGGUAUUUAUCGUUGUUUUUUCAUUUCUUGAUUUUUUGGAGCAUUCCCUUAAUUACUGGCAUUACAAGAUGCUCCAGGCUAAGGUCAGCCAUUUCUCCAUGGAUCCCUGGUCCCUUUUAUUGGAGAAUGGCUGCUAAAAACCAAGAUCUGGGUCCUAGAUAUGCUUGUUGCUGUGCUGGGCUGUCACUGCUUCUAAGGCUCUCAGUGGUCAGAGCCAUGAAAUAUAUGAAUGUAUAUAAACCCACACAUACAAACAUAACUCUCUUUCUGUAUAUAUUGAUCAGUGUACAUGUUAAACAUGAAUUCAUACUGAUACCUGACUUCUAACCUAAUAUCCUGGGGCCAUUCUGGCUGUCCCCCUUGUUUAUUUGUAACUGGUUUUUCUGACCAUGAGAACCGUAACUUAUCUAUAAUUUAUGUACUUCUUUGUUUAUCCCUAGUGUACAUGUAUAGAAGUAUAUAGUAUCCAUGCUAUAGACUGAGCUACCUUCAGGAAGCUAGAAUGCCAUCACCAUGGAUUUAAGAUGAUGGGAAUUUCAGGGCCUGUGCAGGGGCCUGGAAUCACACUCCACAGAUGCCCCUUCCCCAGCGUGCUUUCCUGCUAAGCCUGAUCCUGCCACACCCUCUCUUUUUAAGCAACUCUGUGUUUCUGAAUAACCCUCCAUUCCUGCUACAGGCUAUUUUGCCAUAGUAGAUCCUAUGCAACCAACUGGACACAGAGAAGUGCAGCAGCCAGUUCCUUUUCAAAAUGUUUGCAAAUGGGCUUUAAAUAAUGAAGACAAACAAGUUAGAAGAAAAAUUGGCCUCGCAUCCCUCCUGCAGCCCUGGGGAGCCCUCUUGAUGGCUCACUACUCUUCAGGAGUGCAAAGCUCAGCGGACAGGCCUGCGAUGGACAAGGUGUGGAGGAGAACUGCCUUCUAUUGAUUUCUGAAACGGACAGGAACUAAUGACAGAAGGUGCUUGAGUGCAGGUCUCCUGAGGCUACCCACCAAGAGGAAGGACAAAGGCAGAGCAAUUGCCAAAAUAUUCUCCUUCUAUUAUCCUCUCCAUCCUCAGCCUUUGGCUUCAGCUCUCCUGAUAUAGAGGAAAGGCCUCAUAUAGAGGCUUACUGAUGAAAGAACAAGAAGCUCAACUGAGGAACAGAGGUCCAGGACUCAGUCAAGGUGGGAGUGGGCAUAAAAGAGCUGCUGGAAGGGGUCAGCCUCAGCUGCUCCAAGCUCUCCUUUGAUGUCUAAGAGAGGCUGUCCCCUUGAUGCCCACUGCAUCACAGUCUUUGUCGUGGCCUGUUCUUUCUCACCUUAAAAGGCUCUGAGAGUUUCUGGUGGGGGGGAGGGUAUCCCUGGGCCUAGAAGCCUCUAACAGAGCUGAUAUUCUGCGGAUAGGAGCACAAGUGAAGGAGGCCAUUGCUUGGUGCAAGACUUGCCUCACUGCUGUCAGCAAAACCUACUGAGAAAUCUCUUGCCCUGGAGGAGUGAACUGAUGCCCCUUGCAUAAAUGAUGACCUCACUCUGCUCUGUAGUUCUCCAUCGUGUCUCUACAGAGGUCGCACAGGGCAACCCAUUCAGCAGCUUAGGUGUCAAUGCCUGAUAUAGGCUAAAACUCUUCCUUCUCCCUCCCAUCAGGAAAGCAAAUUGUUGUUUAAGAGACUGAGAGUUAAAUUAUUUUAGGUUUAGCUUUGAGUCUAGGCAUAGGUAUUAAAAUCCAGUUAUAUUCCAACUUUGGUAUUUAUUUUCUACAAUUUGCAAAACAACUUCUGAAAGUGGAUUACAAGAGCCUGAUUAAGAAGACUGUCCUAGGAAGUGAGCAAACUGUUGGGGUGAAGGGGAAAUUCAUGUGUGUAAAAGAUUGUAAAAAAGAAUUUUUCUACUUUCUUUUCCUUUCCACCCUCACUUACAGUCUUUGCUCUAGAUCUGCCUCUCCAAAAAUACAGAAAGGCCAGGCAAAGGACAAAGGGGAAUCUUUGCUUCAGACCUGGAAAAAAUACAAAUAUAGGGUGCCUUAAAAAGUUAGAAAUAAGGUGUUGAAGAAAAUCCUAAGUCUUUAAGUAUGUCACUUCACUGAAUAUUCUGUCACAUAACUUGCCUGCAUAAUAUUUUUGGAAUCUUUGUGGAGAGAAUGGAGAAACAGCUGUUAGCAUCCUUUCUAAAAAGUUUCACAUGGAAUUAUCUAGUAUCUACCUACACUAAUUAUGGUGAUAUUUUCACUAGGUUCUACCUAGAGAAGAUGUUGUCCCAAACCAAGCAGGCAGCAUCCCUUUGGGAGAUAGAUAUUUAUGUACAUUAGGUGGAUUUUGAGACUUCAAACAUCUGAAAAUAAUGCAGAAUAUUUAAAUGGUCUCACUAUUUGGUAGAAGAAUGACUCAGACUCAAAUAAAAAAAUAGUCAAGUAGAAAAAUCCAGAUGGGCCUGAAAGGAGUGAUGGAAGGAAUCUGGCUGCUAAUCAUCCCUAAUUCACCUCCUACUCCUUCUGGAGCAAAAAAGAGUCUGAAGCUCUAAUUGUACUGUGAAUGAAAAAAACUCUGGAAAUAAAAUUAGCAUGACUCAGAGCAGAGCAAUCUGGAAGGCUGGGCUGGCCUGGACGUUCCACAGGUUGACCCUCUUAACAGCAGGAGAGAGGAAGCUGCCCAUGGUUCCUGGUGAUGGAGGUUUGGGUGGAGAAAGAUCAACAGAAUGGAAGCCUCACAGACAAGCAGAAAGAGUCACGACACACAGGAGGGGUUGGACCUGGUAGCGCAGAGGAUGGCCUAAACUCAAGUGGACAGCCCAGCAUUGGGGCACAGGUACCAGAGACUGGAAAAUAGUCAGAAGUAAUGGAGUAAGCAGAGUUAGACUACACUGUAUUUACACAAACACACACUCUUACACAUAUGCACACACUUUAAGGCCCUUGAGAACAGAAUGUCUUUCUCCCCAGCACUUUACAACCCUGAUAGGCAGUAGUAGGUGCUCAGUGAGGGCUUUGGAAGCUGAAAGUGUGGAAGUGAGUUAGGUCACAUGGGUAACUGCACCUGGGAAAGUAAAGAUGCAGCCAUUAGGUCAGGCAAAACGGUCUGUCAGUCUAAGCUGGCUUUGGGGGAUAAGCUAGGAAUCAGAAGGAACAGAAGCACUGCAGGCAGCAGUAGGAUUAAAAAUCUUAGCAGCUGGUCGAGGCAGCUGAGAUGAAGCUCUGUCAAUAAAGAGAUCUCAAAGUUUCAGCAAGAGGCACUGUAUAGCACUGAGUGGAAAGUUACAGGGCUGGAGUAAGGGUUCCUGUGCUUGUAUGUCUAUCUGUGCUUACUGAGACUGUGAGACCACUUACUAAUUCUCCCAAUGCUCAAUUUCCUCAUCUUUAAAAUGAGAAAAUAAUACUACUACUUAGCCCAAAGCGUUGUUGUGAGCAUUUAGCAUAGAAAAGUUACUGUAUGUUAAGUGUUUACAGCAAUGCCUGGAAUAUAGUAAGUAUUCAAUAAAUAUGAGUAAUCACUACUACUGAUUAUCCUCCUCCAUUCAGAAAGUUACUGUGUGCUUUGUACAACUGCAGAAUUAGUCCCAGGACUCAGACUGUCCAGCACUCCAUUGGGAACAUAAGCUGACCUACCCCCCACAACUGUCUGUUCUUCACUUUGCUGCUUUCAUACUUCAGGACAUCACCUUCUUUUUUUUGCAUGGACCACUGCAGCAGUUUCUCUCUCUGUUUUUGUCUUGGCCUUAUCCAGUCAAAAGUUAUCUCUUUAAAAUGCAGAUGUAAUCAACCCAUCUCACUUGUCUGCCUCAUAUCCCUUAUGAGUUCUCUUUGUCCUCAGGAUUCUUUAGGUUUCUUUACUUAAAAAGGAUAAGAGAGCACCUUGGAGAAAUAACUGAUUCUGGGACCGGGGCAGGAAGUUUAUAAGAAGAACCUGGAACAUCUUUUAGUGCCAGAACGUAAGUACUUACUCAAGCAAUGAAAAGUCCUACAAUGGUGGAAGUAUAUCAAAGAGACAAAGGAACCAACUUAAAAGAGCUCCCAAUGGCCAAAGCUGGAAUAAUCUGAACAAAAAAUAAGUUAAAUAGCAUUGUAUUUUAACUCUAAGUAUAAAAUAAAUAUCCAUGAGUUCAUAUUAAUGUAAGUAAAUGACAGAAUACAUACAUGGUGGAGAAGAGAAAUUUCCCCUACAGAAGAAUUCCAAAAAUUUAGUGCUUCACCCUUGAGGAGGAAGCAUAACUCCCCACUUCUUAGUGUGGGCUGUGCAUGGUGACUUCCGUCCAAAGUAAGGGAGAAAAUGAGUGACUUUAUAGAGGAGAAACCUGACAAACCCCAUAUCUCCUUAGGUGAUCAAGGUCAACCUCAACAAUGUAACUCUUAAGUGAUAAAGCUCAUAUGUUAAUAGAAUGUAACUUUGAUACAAUGUGAUAAGAAUCAUACUUCCUCUGAGGUCUUCCUCCCACAACUUGUAACUCCAGUCUAUUCAUGAGAAAAACAUCAAACAAGAUCAAGAGAACAAUGUUCUACAAAAUAUCUCACCAGGACCUCUCAAAACUGUCAAGAUCAUUAAAGACAAGAAAGUCAAACUGUCAAAGCCAAGAGGAAUGUAAAGACAACUAACUAAAUGUUAUGUGGUGUCCUAGAUGGGAUCCUGGAACAGAAAAAGAACCUUAGGUGUAAACUAAGGAAAUCUAAGUAAAGUAUUGACUUAAUAACAAUGUUUCAAUACUGGUUCAUCAGUUGGGACAAGUGGACCCAAGUAAUGUAAAAUGUUAUUAAUAGGGGAAACUGGGCAUGGAACUCUCUGUACAAUUUUCACAAUUUUUAUCUAAAUCUAAAGCUUUUCUAAAAUUUAAAGUUCCUUAAAAUGAAAGAAGAAAUAGGAGGGAAUCAAAAGACAAACUUUACCUGUUUCAAAAUUCUGGCAGGCUCAGUCACCAUUAGACCACACCUCUUCCCCAGUCAGCAGCAGCACGGCUCCUAUCCAAAGACGCGCUCCAACUCAGUUCUUUAGAGAGAUGACAAGAGUGACUGCUUCACCUUCUCCACAUGGAGCACAGAAAGCACCCAGAUUCACUGUCCCAUCAUAUAUACAGGCAUUGGGGCAUAGAACCAAUGGCCUCUUCAGGCUCUGGAUGAACUCAGGCACAUUCCUAAUCCACUGUGAACUUGUUUCCUCAUCUAUAAAAUGAUAAAAAAAAAUAAUACUUAGCACAUAGAGCUAUUAAGAUAAUAUAUUGAGACUAUAUAAAAAUGCUGACCACAGUGCCUGGCAGGUUAUGAUAUGAAGUGUUAUCAUCCCAUUCUUCCCAGAUGUUCCAGGAGAGUCCAGGGGGGUAAACUCUAUGCAGGAAAAACAUACCUGCUCUCUAGAAGGUUCUUGCUAAAACCAAAGUAGAUAGAUACCAUGGUAGUCAUACUUUACAUCAGACAGUGAAUGGUCUAAAGGAUUUGAACAGAGCCAUCUGAGGAGCUCAAGUUGCAGUUUAUUGUGGAACUGCUUUCAGAGGCUGGACAUUUAGAAAGGAAGCUACACAAAUGUUAAGGCCUCACAUUUACCCCAAGGCAAAUCACUUGGCCAUUUUCUGACUGGAUUGGUUUCCAUGGAAUAGAGAAGCUCUGUUUUAAUGUGUUCUAGCCAGUUUUCAGCCUACACAAUGAUUACAAUCAGAUCCAACCUGGUUUGAGUAGAAUUUGCCAGUAGAAUGUCAUGAGACUGCAGAGCCAAUUCUUUAUUACUUUAAUAAAUCUUAACAUAUGACAACUACAGUUUGAUCAAUAACUAGCAGUGUUUUUGUAAUUUUAACACAAAGAGCAAUGGAUUGUGUCUGGUAUGAUGUGUACUCACCAUUUUGAGGUCAUCCUGCUGAUUGAGCAUAAUUUCAUUCUCCCCACUGAUGUUCACCAAGGUUUUCUUUUGUGACUGGUUGGUUCUUUGACCAGGUAGAGAUGCCAGUGGAAGAGGCAGUCGUUGCUGGUUCUCUUUCCUUUCUGAGGACCAGAGGAGCAACUCCCUGUCUCCAUUCAGCUGGGCAAUUUCCUGAUCAAAGGAUCUAUGGAAGCUGUACACACUGUCUUCAGGAGAAUGUGCAACUUCAAAUAGACAAUGAAUUUGCAUAAAUGGACUCCUAGAUAACAACCCUUGCUAUAAAAACCAUUCUACUCCUAAAAGUAGCAAUGCAAACAAAGCUUUCAUUUGCAAUUACUAAGUGAAUGUAAAUAUGUCUUUUAUAGUAUUUGACAUGCUGUCUACACAAGUUGCUAUACUUUUCUCAAAACAUAUAUUUCGCAGUGCCCCCAUGACUUUGCUUCACCACUGCAGGGCAUCUCAGCACAGUUCAGUUUAGGAACUGCACCUCCAAGGCCAACCAUGAUGUCUGCAAUACAUGGAACCCUGGUGGAUUGAAUUAGGUCCUAUUUUAUUUGUGGAUCAUUAGAUAGAGAUUUAUCUCAUGUCUCAGGCUCACACAUAGCUUUUAUACAGAAUAUAUGUUUCUUUAAAUAUGUAGUAUUAGAAGAAUUAUUAUCACAAAGUCAAAGUUAACUUAAGACCAGAUAACAUUGGAUUGAUAUUAUCAAAUACUAUCCCAAGAUAGUUUAAAGUUUCAGUAUCAGAUUGCUUUAUAUCCUUCUUAGUGAUACUAUAUCUUUGUAAAGCUGGGUUUUGGCAGUUGCUGUGAUGAAAAUCAAUGUGUAAUAGGAAAUGAUGGUGGGGACUUCCAAUCAGAUUCCAAGAUUGGUUGAUUGAUUGAUUGAUUUUUAGGGCUGCAGGUGGGUCAUAUGGAAGUUCCCAGGCUAGUGCAAAUCAGAGCUAUAGAUACUGGCUACGCCAUGGCCAGAGCAAUGCCAGAUCUGAGC